rnacentral:rRNA from 1 species
GAUGAACGCUGGCGGCGUGCCUAAUACAUGCAAGUCGAACGCUGAAGGAAGGAGCUUGCUCUUUCCGGAUGAGUUGCGAACGGGUGAGUAACGCGUAGGUAACCUGCCUGGUAGCGGGGGAUAACUAUUGGAAACGAUAGCUAAUACCGCAUAACAGUAGAUGUUGCAUGAUAUCUACUUAAAAGGUGCAAUUGCACCACUACCAGAUGGACCUGCGUUGUAUUAGCUAGUUGGUGAGGUAACGGCUCACCAAGGCGACGAUACAUAGCCGACCUGAGAGGGUGAUCGGCCACACUGGGACUGGGACACGGCCCAGACUCCUACGGGAGGCAGCAGUAGGGAAUCUUCGGCAAUGGACGGAAGUCUGACCGAGCAACGCCGCGUGAGUGAAGAAGGUUUUCGGAUCGUAAAGCUCUGUUGUAAGAGAAGAACGAGUGUGAGAGUGGAAAGUUCACACUGUGACGGUAUCUUACCAGAAAGGGACGGCUAACUACGUG